rnacentral:rRNA from 1 species
AUGGCAUGGUGGAAGCUUUGCAUCCCCAAAAGUGAAGGUGGAAUGGGAUUUCGAGACCUAUACUCCUUUAACUUAGCAAUGCUUGCAAAGCAGUGCUGGAGGAUUGUAACAGAGCCGGAGUCCCUAGUGGCCCGUGUGUUGAAAGCUAAAUAUUUCCCUAAUCGGAGUAUUUUAGAAGCUACCUCGAAAACCGGGUCUUCAUUCACUUGGCAAAGUAUAAUGAAAGGGUUAGAAACAUUCAAAAGAGGAUAUAUUUGGAGAAUCGGUAUGGGAGAACAUGUGAAUAUAUGGAACGAUCCAUGGAUCCCUACAAGUGCAGACAGGAAAGUGAUUACCCCUCAACAAACACUUCUGACUAGAGUAUGUGACUUGAUGGAUCCAGUGACUGGAACUUGGGAUGAGGAGCUGCUAAGAGAUAUUUUUUGGGCAGUGGAUGUACGGGGGAUUAUGCAAAUCCCAUUAUACCCGCAAGCCUUCGACGAUUUCAUUGCUUGGCAACCUAAUCGAACAGGGAUUUUCUCUGUCAAAAUGGCCUACCAUCUUCAGUGGACUCAUACUUUUCGGGCGCAUGCAAACAAGGUAGAGAGGCCGACUGGAUCCGCACCUUUGGAUAUUUGGAAUACUCUAUGGAAACUUCAGGUGCCACGUAAAGUUCAAAUCUUUGGUUGGAGAAUAUUGCGCGGGAUCAUCCCACUAAAAUCAAUCCUAAUGAACCAGCAUGUAGGAUCGGAUGGGGCCUGCCCGAUUUGCCAUCAGGGCGCGGAGGAUCUUAAACACCUAUUGUUCUUAUGUACUAAUGCAAAGGAGUUGUGGAGGCGACUGGGAAUGAUGGAUGUCAUCGAACACUCAGUU